CGGACGGGUGGGUAAUGUCUGGGAAACUGCCCGAUGGAGGGGGAUAACUACUGGAAACGGUAGCUAAUACCGCAUAACGUCGCAAGACCAAAGAGGGGGACCUUCGGGCCCCUUGUCAUCGGAUGUGCCCAGAUGGGAUUAGCUAGUAGGUGGGGUAACGGCUCACCUAGGCGACGAUCCCUAGCUGGUCUGAGAGGAUGACCAGUCACACUGGAACUGAGACACGGUCCAG
rnacentral:rRNA from 1 species